rnacentral:rRNA from 1 species
AUUGAACGCUGGCGGCGUGCCUAAUACAUGCAAGUCGAGCGAAUCGAUGGGAGCUUGCUCCCUGAGAUUAGCGGCGGACGGGUGAGUAACACGUGGGUAACCUGCCUGUAAGACUGGGAUAACUUCGGGAAACCGGAGCUAAUACCGGAUACUUUCUUUUCUCGCAUGAGGGAAGAUGGAAAGAUGGUUCUGCUAUCACUUACAGAUGGACCCGCGGCGCAUUAGCUAGUUGGUGAGGUAACGGCUCACCAAGGCAACGAUGCGUAGCCGACCUGAGAGGGUGAUCGGCCACACUGGGACUGAGACACGGCCCAGACUCCUACGGGAGGCAGCAGUAGGGAAUCUUCCGCAAUGGACGAAAGUCUGACGGAGCAACGCCGCGUGAGCGAAGAAGGCCUUCGGGUCGUAAAGCUCUGUUGUUAGGGAAGAACAAGUACGAGAGUAACUGCUCGUACCUUGACGGUACCUAACCAGAAAGCCACGGCUAACUACGUGCCAGCAGCCGCGGUAACAC